GUGUCACUUCAAAAAAUGGAGGAAGGUUGGCACAGUUGGCCUUUCUCUGCACACAAAAAUACCUCCAAUGCACAUAAAAGUACUUACAAUGGCUGCAUUUCUUCCAUCGUUAGUUAUCCUGUCUUGGGGAUAAGCAGGGAAGCAAUAAACCAUCUCCUCUUCUGAGCUGUCCAAAACUUAACAACAAAUAUCUUCUUGAAAGUCCAGCAUGGGGGCUGAGCUCUUUUCCCACAUAAGAGACAUGAAAAGAGGAAACAGCCUCAAGUUGCUCCAGGGGAGUUUUAGAUUGGAUAUAAGGAAUAAUUUCCUCACAGAAAGGGUUAUCAAGCACUGGAACAGGCUUCCCAGGGCACCGGUGGAAUCACCAUCCCUGGAAGUGUUCCAAAAAUGUAUGGAUUUGGUGUUUAGGGACAAGGCAGUGCUGGGUUAAGUCUUGGACUCAAUGACAUUAGAGGUCUUUUCCAGCCUCAGUGGUUCUGUGUUUCCAUAUUUUGAUGAUUCUAUGAGGUGGACAAGUCCCUCCUUCUCUCAGGAUACAGUGAGAAUGAUGCUUGUUCCCAAUGUAACACGAUUUUCUGCAUAUUAUUUUCUCAGACUACCAAAACUUAACUAUGCCACAAAGCUAAUCAGGAAAUUCUCAGACAUUAAAACGGCUUUUUGAUGUUCACAUGCCUAGAUAGUAGGUAUCAUAGGUUUCAAAAGAGAUGUUGGAAUUUUUUGCCUAGCGUCCCGUUUUUCCCAUCACACCCCACCCCCUCAGUUUGUUUCUUCCGGGAUGGGGGAGUCAGGAGGGAGUGGGGGACGGAGCGAAGCCGCAUGCGCUGGGUACCACGGCAGCGGGAAAAGGGGAAGGUUCCCUGGAAGCGCGGUGGUGGGGGACCAGGACACCUCGAAGAGAGAGACCAGCCCAUCUCAGAGCGAGCUAUUCUGCCUCCGGGAGUGCCUGUGGGAAAAAAGAGCCUUUCACUGCUGGCUGUGAAGCCGCCGGCGGCUGCGAGCACACGUGGCUGCGAGCAGCUGUCCAACUGCCGGGACAGUCCUGCCUCCCUCCCUCCCUUCCCUCCCCCGCCCCAGGUCGCCACGGGUUUCUCCCCCCCCCACCUGGGGAAUUGGGACUUUGUUUUGUUUCUUCUGAAAGUUUUUGAUUGCACCAUUUGUUGUUUAUUCAGAUUUUGUUAAUAAAAAUCUAUUCUUUUCCUUUUCCACA